GUGUUAACCCUGGGUGUCCCCCAGCUGCCUUACUUAAUUUUCUGUUGCUGUGAUAAAAUACUCCAACAAAAGCAGCUUAAGAAAGGAGGGUUUGUUUCAGUUCACAGUUUGAGGUAGAGUUCCAUCAAGAUGGGGAAGUCAGUGGAAGGAACCUGAAACUUUUAGUCCCAGUCAGAAAUAAGAGUGCAAUGAUCCAACCAAGAAAUGGUUCCACCCACAGAGAGCAGCUCUCCUCUCCUCGGUUAAGAUAAUGCCCCCAGGGACAUGCUCAGAGUCCCAUCCCCAAGACUCACCAACCAGCCCUGAGCUUGGAUGUCCUUGAGAACAGGAUACACGUGAGCCCAAAGUCCUUCAAGCAGACACAAACCUCCAAAGCCACGAUAGUCAUCGAUUGUCACGACUGCAAGGAAGGAACUAUAAGGAGAGAAGAGAACAGGUUCUGCGUGCUAGGGAGAUCUCCAUCCGUUUCCGGAAAGAUGUAGAUAGUCCUCCCUUCACCAGCCUGUCAUCCCAACGCUGGAAAGUUGAUUUGGAAGAAAGUCUCUGCUACUCAGUUGAUCUUGAUCCACAUUUCCAAUCAAAGGGGGCAAAAACUGGGUAAUUAAAGGGUUCAUCGAUGACUACUGAAGACCAGUUAGGACCUGUAGAUGGAUUCCUUAAUUUUAAAAAUUGAUCCCCAGGCGUGUCCUAUAGAGGCAAGAUAUAAUAAUAAUAAUGAGGGGCCAUGGGAAGAAAAUGGAGCCUCCUCUUGCCCCUGCUUGCUGAGAACCUAGAGAAUCAUGAAGGCCAAAAUUCCAUAAAUUUCCCAUCUUGUAAAACUUGUUUUAGGUCUGCUAUAUUCCUGGAAAUUAAUGGUCUCACCCAUUUCCUUCAUAUCCUUUGUGCUAAUUCUUUUAAAGCUAGCCAGUCAUGAAAGACUGUGAGAUCAGACCCCAGCCUAUAGGAAAAAGACACAACCUCCACCUGCCUUAGAAUAAAAACCAAGUGAGCUUACCGCCCCAGUGUUCUUGCUAGCAUGGUUUGUGCUAUGGUGGAGCUGGAUUACAGGUGUGUUCUGCCACACCUGGUGUAUGCGGUGCUGGAGUGAACCCAAGGUUUCAU
rnacentral:lncRNA from 1 species